rnacentral:rRNA from 1 species
UACGGGGGGGGCAAGCGUUGUUCGGAAUUACUGGACGUAAAGGGCUCGUAGGCGGCCAACUAAGUCCGACGUGAAAUCCCCAGGCUUAACCUGGGAACUGCGUCGGAUACUGGAUGGCUUGAAUUCGGGAGAGGGAUGCAGAAUUCCAGGUGUAGCGGUGAAAUGCGUAGAUAUCUGGAGGAAUACCGGUGGCGAAGGCGGCAUCCUGGACCGACAUUGACGCUGAUGAGCGAAAGCUAGGGGAGCAAACGGG